rnacentral:rRNA from 1 species
GACGAACGCUGGCGGCGUGCUUAACACAUGCAAGUCGAACGGAAAGGCCCUGCUUUUGUGGGGUGCUCGAGUGGCGAACGGGUGAGUAACACGUGAGUAACCUGCCCUUGACUUUGGGAUAACUUCAGGAAACUGGGGCAAAUACCGGAUAGGAGCUCCUGCUGCAUGGUGGGGGUUGGAAAGUUUCGGCGGUUGGGGAUGGACUCGCGGCUUAUCAGCUUGUUGGUGGGGUAGUGGCUUACCAAGGUUUUGACGGGUAGCCGGCCUGAGAGGGUGACCGGCCACAUUGGGACUGAGAUACGGCCCAGACUCCUACGGGAGGCAGCAGUGGGGAAUAUUGCACAAUGGGCGGAAGCCUGAUGCAGCAACGCCGCGUGCGGGAUGACGGCCUUCGGGUUGUAAACCGCUUUCGCCUGUGACGAAGCGUGAGUGACGGUAAUGGGUAAAGAAGCACCGGCUAACUACGUG